rnacentral:lncRNA from 1 species
UUAGCCUUUUAUGUGGUUUGUCACUGCCUCACCCAAGGUGCGCCUCAAAUCGCCUUUUAAAACCAUGAAUGCAGAACUGUGAAUUGAAUUGUGGAGAUUAAAAUCGAAUCCAAACCAAUUAUUCAUCACAACACGAGUAGUAAAUUCAAUCCCAUUAAAAAACAAGCGUGGGGGUCUAGAGGAAUAUUCAGUACACGAGGUCAGACAAGUACUUUCAAGGCACUUGGAUACAACACAAUAGCAAACCGACACG